rnacentral:rRNA from 1 species
GACGAACGCUGGCGGCGUGCUUAAUACAUGCAAGUCGAGCGAAAAGGCGCGGAGCUUGUUGCUCGGACGUUAGCGGCGGACGGGAGAGUAACAUGUGGAUAACCUACCUAUAAGACUGGGAUAACUACGGGAAACGGGUGCUAAUAAGGGAUAAUAUAUUGAACCGGGGGGUUGGAUAGUGAAAGACGGUUUUGAGGGAAGUUCUAGAUGGAUACGCGCUGGAUGAGGUGGUUGGUAAGGUAACGGCUUACGAAGGCAAGGAUGCGUGGCCGACCUGCGAGGGUGAUCGCCCACACUGGAAGUGAGACACGGUCCAGACUCCUACGGAAGGCAGCAGUAUCGAAUCGUCCGCAAUGGGCGAAAUCUUGACGGAGCAACGCCACGCGAGUGAUGAAGAUCUGCGGAUCGUAAAACUCUCUUAUUAGUGAAAAACAAAUUUGUAAGUAACUAUGCACGUCUUGACGGUACCUAAUCAGAAAGCCACGGCUAACUACGUG